UUCAGCCUUCAUAGUGGAAAGUAUUUUAUGAUUACUGCAAAUCAAAAUACUGCUGAUUCACUUCCCUGUGCUCCCAACACUUCCCAACAUUCAGCAAUAUAUUAACUGUCAGUUAACCCAAAACCAAGGCAAUAAUUAUUAACUUUUUAAAUUACAAAUUCUGUAUAGCCACAUCAGUGUUAGCACCUGGAACAUGACUAGCUCAGUCCCUAUAUGCUGGAUAUCUAAGACGUGCAGAUAAAUUUACAAGGUUAACUUAAGCUGGACAACCUUCCCGAGUAUCAUUAUUGGCUUGAUAGUAACUUUCAACAUACACUCAAAUAUACUACAGAGUUGUGCCCAAGCAAAACAUUCAACAGACUUUCUUCCUGCAAUCAAGCCAUACUGUCUGAGCAAAACUUCAAGUUCCAGGUAAAAUUGGAGAGAAAAGGAGGAGGAGGAAAACGAAUUGUAGGAGACAGUGAAGGUGCAGAAGAAAGAGAAGCUGGAAAAGGAGAACAAGAGGAAGAAGGAGGAAGUGGGGGUGAGCGAUUAUGGAGAACGACAUAAGGAGAAGGAAUGGCUGUAAGAGGCGGUGGAAAUUACUAACUGAUGGGACCCCUCCGGAAAUGGUCCACAUGGGUUCUGCAGGCCAAAUGGCCUCCUUUCUAUUGUAAUGACUUUGGUGAAACAUGCUUGUACCAAUCUAAGACAGACAUAGCCUUUCCUAA